rnacentral:rRNA from 1 species
GGGCGAGCGUUAUCCGGAUUUACUGGGCGUAAAGCGGGUGCAGACGGUUUUUCAAGUCGAGCGUAAAAUCUCUCAGCUCAACUGGGAGGGACCGUUCGAUACUGUGAGGCUAGAGGACAGCAGGGGGAGGUAGAAUUCUCGGUGUAGUGGUGGAAUGCGUAGAUAUCGAGAGGAAUACCAGUGGCGAAGGCGGCCUCCUGGGCUGUUUCUGACGUUCAGACCCGAAGGUGUGGGGAGCAAACAGGAUUAGAUACCCUGGUAGUCCACACUGUAAACGAUGGAUACUAGGUAUAGGGAGUAUCGACCCUCUCUGUGCCAAAGCUAACGCGUUAAGUAUCCCGUCUGGGAAGUACGGCCGCAAGGCUAAAACUCAAAGGAAUUGACGGGGGCCCGCACAAGCAGCGGAGCGUGUGGUUUAAUUCGAUGCAAAACGAAGAACCUUACCAAGGCUUGACAUGUUGGAAGUAGCGACCUGAAAGGGAAGUCACCCGUUAAAUCGGGAGCCAUCACAGGUGCUGCAUGGCUGUCGUCAGCUCGUGCCGUGAGGUGUUUGGUUAAGUCCUGCAACGAGCGCAACCCCUGUUGCCAGUUGUAUUCUCUGGCGAGACUGCCCCGCACAACGGGGAGGAAGGUGGGGAUGAUGUCAAGUCAGCACGGCCCUUAUGCCUUGGGCUACACACACGCUACAAUGGGUGGUACAGUUGGUUGCAAUAGAGCGAUCUGGAGCUAAUCCCAAAAACCAUCCUCAGUUCAGAUUGCAGGCUGAAAUUCGCCUGCAUGAAGGUGGAGUUGCUAGUAACCGCAAGUCAGCAUAUUGCGGUGAAUACGUUCUCGGGCCUUGUACACACCGCCCGUCACGUCAUGAAAGUUGGCAACACUUGAAGUC